rnacentral:snoRNA from 1 species
AGGACCAAUAAUAAGAAUAUGUUAGGAACCAAGAAUUUUGGUUAAUAUGAUUCUCUGUCCUGGAAACCCAAAGAAAAUGGAGGUCUCUC